AGUGAACGCUGGCGGUAGGCCUAACACAUGCAAGUCGAACGGCAGCACAGUAAGAGCUUGCUCUUACGGGUGGCGAGUGGCGGACGGGUGAGGAAUACAUCGGAAUCUACUUUUUCGUGGGGGAUAACGUAGGGAAACUUACGCUAAUACCGCGUACGACCUACGGGUGAAAGCAGGGGAUCUUCGGACCUUGCGCGAUUGAAUGAGCCGAUGUCGGAUUAGCUAGUUGGCGGGGUAAAGGCCCACCAAGGCGACGAUCCGUAGCUGGUCUGAGAGGAUGAUCAGCCACACUGGAACUGAGACACGGUCCAGACUCCUACGGGAGGCAGCAGUGGGGAAUAUUUGACAAUGGGCGCAAGCCUGAUCCAGCCAUACCGCGUGGGUGAAGAAGGCCUUCGGGUUGUAAAGCCCUUUUGUUGGGAAAGAAAAGCAGCAGGUUAAUACCCCGCUGUUCUGACGGUACCCAAAGAAUAAGCACCGGCUAACUUCGUG
rnacentral:rRNA from 1 species